GGAUUACAGGCGUGAGCCACCGCGCCCGGCCCACAGUUCCUUUUUACAAAAAUAAUUAUGAUAAUAAUUACCUUGUUUUUCUCUUUGUUUUGUUUUCUAUGUACUUGUCUCAGUUGAUCAUUUCCUCUCCCAGAGUCGUAAAAUUUCUCUGUAUAUUCUAUGGUUAAUACAUCAGCUAAUCUGUCGGUCUCACAGUUCGGGUUUUUUCCCCCCAUCUUUUAAAAACAGGCUUUUUGAGGCCUCCAUUGUCCUAUUCCUAUUUGUGACUGGCUGCUCUUUAGGCCUGCUGCACUGCAGGCUACCUGGGACUUCCGGUCAUUCCCUUCUCCUCUCUCCUGCAUAAGAUUCUUUUGCUUGGAUUCCAUGUAUGCCCCUUUCUUGGUUUCUUCCAUUGUUUUGAUGGAACACUUUCUCCAACAGCAACCUUAGAAGGGGUGCUUAGAAGGGACGCGGUGGCUCACACCUGUAAUCCCAGCACUUUGGGAGGCCGAAGCGGGCAGAUCAUUUGAGGUCAAGUGUUUGAGACUAGCCUGGCCAACAUGAUGAAACCCUGUCUCUACUAAAAAUACAAAAAAUUAGCCAGGCGUGGUGGCGGGAGCCUGUAAUCCCAACUACUUAGAGGCUGAGACAGGAGAAUUGCUUGAACCCAGGAGGGGGAGGUUGCAGUGAGCAGAGACCGUGCCACUGCCCUCCAGCCUGUGUGACAGGGUAAGACUCUGUGUCAAAAAAAAAAAAGAAAAAAAUGGGGGUGCCCGGAAGUAAAUUUUUUGAGACCUUGAGAGACUGCAUAUGUGAAAUGUCUUUAGUUUACCCUUACACGUGAUUUGUGAUUUGUAUAGAAUUCAACAUUGGAAAUCCAUUUUGAUGACAAUUUUGAAGUCAUUGUUUUAUCGUUGUCUAGGAUCUAGUAUUGCCAUGAGAAGUUUAAUGCCAUUCUGUUUCUCCUUCCUGCAUGGUCUUUUUUGUUUCUCUAUAUUACCUUAGGAUUUCUGGCAAUUAAUUCUUGUAAAUUGUCUUUAAUUAUUUGACUAUUGCUCUCAAUUUUUCUCUAUUAGUUUGAAAUUUUGAUCAGUUGGAUGCUAAAUUUCCUGUGUUGAGUUUCUAAUCUUCUUAUCCUUUCCUUCCUCUUUUCUACUGUCUUAGUAGACAUAUUUUCCAAUCCUAUUAAAUUUUCUAUCCGCUAUUACAUUCUUAAUACUUACAAAUUUUUCUAAUUCUCUGAAUGUUCCUUUUUAGGAGUAUCUUAUUAUUGUUUAAGGAGUACUUACUAAAGUAAAGAUGCAAUACUUUAUCUUGUCUUUCUUAGAAUAUUAGUUAUAAUUGUAAUUUAUAAGCUUUCUUCUUCUGUUCCAUCUACUCUUUCUAUUCCUUAAAAGUUUUUUGUUGUUGUUGUUGUUGUUGUUGUUUUGAUGUAGUCUCGCUCUGUUGCCAGUCUGGAGUGCAGUGGCACAGUCUUGGCUCACUGCAACCUCUGCCUCCCAGAUUCAAACGAUUCUCCUGCCUCAGCCUCCUGAGUAGCUGGGACUACAGGUGCAUGCCACCACACCCAGCUAAUUUUUGUGUGUGUGUGUGUGUUUUUUAGUAGAGACAGGGUUUCACUAUGUUGGCCAGGCUGGUCUCGAACUCCUGACCUCGUGAUCUGCCUGCCUCAGCCUCCCAAAGUCCUGGGAUUACAGGCGUGAGCCACCGCGCCUGGCCAUAAGUUCAUUUUUUAAAGUUUUGGGGGUUUUUUCUAUAUUUUGUAUUGGAAUCUUUCUUCUAUAUGUCUUCUAAUAUCUGGUGACCCUUGGUGGUCUCUUGAUUUAAGAAUGAGGCAAUAAAAAGUCCAUUGCAACCUCUGUGCAUGGCAGGUUGAUUAGGCAGGGCUCUCUUCCUCUUUCCCAAAAUGCUUUUCUCUUGGGAAGCCAGCAGCUCCAAUAACAAAUAUUCUAAUCUCCUCCCUGAAGAUGGUGUACUGUAAGUCUGUCAGCUAGUGUCUAAAGCCAAUGGUAUAAAAAGGCUGGAGACCUCAUUGUUCAAUAUGUAGACUGUCACUGAAUGCCCAAUAGUUGCAGGGUCCAGAGUUGUUCGGGUUCAAUCUCUCCAGAUAGAAGCAUUUCUUUUUUCUGCAAGAAUGGGUCUAUCUAUCAGUCAGGUUAAUUAAAGAACACAGAAACCAAUGUAGAUUUUUUUUUUUUUAGCAGAGAAAGAUUUAAUUCAAGUAAUUAGGAAUUUCCAAAUUUAUUGGAAGGGCUUGAGAAGAAGGCUACACCAGUUCACAGUAUACAACAGUGAACAAAACAGACCAAAACAACUCUUAGUUCAUGGAGUUUACAUUCUAGUGUAGAAAGAGAAGCAAUAAACACAAUAAAAAAGCAAAAUUUGUUAUAUGUUAAAUUUUACAUACUUUAUGAUAAGUGCUAUAGAGAGAAAUAAAGCAGGGAAGCCGGAUAGGAUUUCUGGGACCAUUUAAAAUAGAGUGGUGAAGGAAGGCCUCACUGAUAAGGUGACAUUUGAGUAAAAUCCUAAAGAAAGCAAGGAAGCAGGCCAUAGAGAUAUUUGGUGGAAGGGCAUCUUAGGUAAAGGGAACAACAGAUGCAAGGGCCCUGAAGUGGGAGCAUAAAUUAUGUAUUUAAGAAACAGCAAGGAAGCUACUGUGGCUAAAGCUGAAUGAGAAAAGUGAGGGUCAUAAGAGAUGAGAUCUGAGCAGUAAGAUGGGGAGUGUGUGUGUGUGUGUGUGUGUGUGUGUGUGUGUGUGUGUUUGCAUGUGUGCAAAAUGUAAGGCAUUGUGGACCAUUAUAAUGAUUUUUUUCUCUUGGUGAGGUGAUAUUUUUCCAUUUGAGGAAAGGAAAAUUUGGACAAAGGAAUAACACAGUCUUACUGUUUUAAAAGGCGCACUCUUGGGGACAAGAGCAGGAGUAAACUGAGUGGCUUUCAGAAUAACCUGGACAAGAGAUGAUAGUGGCUUGGACUAUGAUAGUGAUGCAGGUGGUAAAAAGUGAUUAGAGAUAAUUAAAAGAUAACCCAUGAGUAAUUAUGACCCAACUAAGCUUGGGUAACAUUCAUUGGGUAGUUAUUGAUUAACUUUUGUUUUCCUACUCUAGAGGAACUUUCUCUAGUAAUGCCUAGGAGCUGAGGCUGUGAUGGAGAAUGCAAAGGUGACCACCCCAUUGGUGGGGAUUGGUAUGGCUGUAACAGUAAGUGGGCAAAGAUGAUCAUGGCUUGGGCCAAGGUGGUACUAGUAAAGGUGGUGAGAAGUUUCCAGACUCUGGAUUUAUUUUGAAAAUAAAACCAAGAUUUGUUGAUAAAUUGGGCAUGGAAUGCAAGCAAAAGUGAGAAAUCAGUGUGACUGUAGUUUUUUGUCCCCUUUUUUUUUGUUAUUGUUGGAGUUUACAUUAGUGAUAAUGACAAGACUUCAAGAAGAACAGAUUUUGUGGGAAAUAUCAGGAGCUCAUUUUGAACCUGCUGAGUUCGAGAUGCCUUUGAUACAUCUAAAUGUAGAUGCCAAGUUGGCAACUGGAUAUAUGAGCAUAGAGCUCAGGAGAGUUUAAAGAAAAUUUUAUUAGUUAACAUUGUUGAGGUAACUAACAAGCACCAAAUCUCAGUGGAUUACAGCAACAAACGUUCAUUUCCUGCUCUUGCUACAUAUGGGCUACAGAUUGAUUACAGCUCUGCUCUAGGUUGUGGGCCAGCAAAUAGGUCGGAUUCAAGUGUCUUCUAAUCUUGUGCCUAGGCUAAAAGAACAGCCCCUGUCUGUGCUAUACUCGUGGCAAAGGGCAGAAGCAAGAGAGACCAAACUAAUCCAUUCAAUCCAGUUUAAAGAUUCUCCUUGCAUAUGGUGUACACCACGUAUUUCCAUUCUAUUCCAUUCCACCAGCCAAAAAAAGUCACAUAACUCAGCCCUGCAAUGUGGCAAAAAAUGUAUACUCUGCUCAGCAGAGGCAUUUAAAGACAAAUCCAAAGGGUGCGGAUGUAUAAUAGUCAUAGAAGGGAGAAAGCAAGUAGUUGUAAACCAUAAUUUAAUCUACCACAAAGUGAGUAUAGAUAGUGAAGAGAAGAAAUCCAAAGCCUGAGAUAUUUCAAUAUUCAGAGGUCAGGGAAAUAAGGAGAAACCAACAAAGGAGACUGAGAAGGAAGAGAUAGUAAGGUAGGGAGAAACAUUGGAAGUCAAGAAAAGAAAGUGUCUCCAGAAGAAAGGAGGGAUCAGCUGUGUCCCAUACUGCUCAUAGGUCAAGCAAGAUGUGGGCUGACAUUGACCAUUACAUUUAGCAAUGUGGAAAUAUUGAGUGAUAGUGAUGACAGAGUUAAUGGCAUGGUGGGGGAUGCUAUGGUUUGAAUGUCUGUCCCCUCCCACACAAGUUGAAGUUUAAUUGCUAUUGUGACAGUAUUAAAAGGUGGGAUAUUUAAGAGGUAAUUAGGUCAUGAGCACUCUACCCUCAUGAAUGGAUUAAUGCCAUUAUCUCAGAAAUAGAGUUGUUAUCGUUGGAGUAGAAUCCUUAUAAAAGGAUGAGUUCAGCUCUGUUUUGUCUCUCUCACCCUCUCUUUGCCCUUCUGCCAUGGGAUGCUGUCCACCAUGGGAUGAUGCAGCAAGAAGGCCCUGGCAAGAUGCACUUUUCAAUCUUGGACUUCCCAGCCUCCAGAAGUGUGAGCCAAUAAAUCUCUGAGGGUUCUGUUCUAUGUCAUUUCCUUUGAAGUCAGUGGGAACUCUGUGCAGGACGGCAACAUGAACACCGGCCUCUAUACAUGAAGGUGAAAUACUUCCUGCCUCAGUGAAAUCCGGCUCCCAGUGAAUUUCUUUGGUUUAGAGAGCAACUUGAGGAUUUUGCAUUUGGCACCAUUCAAUUUCCUUGGCAUCUCUCCAUAGUCACCAUUUAGAAGGCUCCUGGUCAGUAGGAUUUCUCUCCCUCUUACACUCUGUAGAGAUUAAAAAAGGAUUGUAUUACAGGGGCUUGGAAAUGUGAUGGAAAAUGAAAUUUGCUUUAGCAAAAAUGGAAGCUUUUGAAACUCAAGUUGUUCUAACAGGACCCUUAGACAAGAAUAGUUUUUAGGGGAGCAAAAUGGCAGAUACGGUUUAAGUUCCUUAUUUAGAUUGCCACUAAGAAAUAUUAUGAUGUGUAAAAUCACUCACUCAAAUAAAGUCAUUUGCAAAACAAUAUGAUUACAUUUAUGUAUUUAAAAAUAUUGGUGCAUACAUACAUAUAAAGCAAGCUUGGAUUAAGAUCUUAAGACAGAUCGUGGCCAGGCGCGGUGGCUCAUGCCUGUAAUCCCAGCACUUUGGGAGGCCAAGGCAGGCGGAUCACCUGAGGUCAGGAGUUUGAGACAAGCCUGGCCAACAUGGUGAAACGCCGUCUCUACUAAAAAUACAAAAAAAAAAAAAGUUAGCUGGGCAUGGUGGCAGGCAC
rnacentral:lncRNA from 10 species